GAAGGAAAGAAAGAAAGAAAGAAGGAAAGAAAGAAAAAGAAAUUGGCAUGAUAAGAAUAGAUUUCGUGACAAAAUAAUGUGCCUCCUCUGUUAUGCAAUAUAUAAUACGUAUGAUGAAUUACCCCCCUUUCUCUUCUCAAAAUUGAUCUCAAUGUGUUGGUGGGUGGGUGUUGUUGGGUGGGACGAAAAAGAAAGGAA
rnacentral:ribozyme from 14 species